AUCAAAGACUGUGUAAUUGCUAGAAGAACUUAUUUUCUUUCACACCUUUCCUAUGCAGAGACAUCAGCUGUGCAGGGCUCUGUUUAGAGAUGGCUCUGUAGGGGUAAAAGUGAUGCAGGAGUUCAUAUAUGUGUUAUAGAUGAAAAUAUUUGUUUUAGUCUUAAAUGGCACAUACAGGCUAAAAUGGUAUGCCCUUUUUUUUUUUUUUUUUUUUUUUUAACAGGAGAGGAUAUGGGGGAAUGCGGCAGCUUGGAAGAGGGGAAAGAGAAGUGCCAGAAUUGUGCAGAUAAUUCUUGUUCACUUUGUUAUGAGCCUGAAAGGAAUGGUUGGCGAAGCAGUCUGAAGUCUACAGCAUCUCCCAGGCUGAUACUGGACUCAUUACAGUUCAUGAAAUGCUCACAGAUUAUGAAUACAGAGACAGUUGUUGAAGAUGAUCAAAAGCACAGAACAGUUUCUAGAUAAAGGGAGUGUGAAGAGAGAAACCACAGAUAUCACAGUUGAGAGUAGAACAGAGAAGCUAAUGGCAGAAGAUCAGACCUGAGGGCAGUUUGGAAACAACAGUGCUCUUCCCAGAGAACUGGAAGUUUUGAGGCCAGUAAGAAAAAAAGAAAUGUCAGGACAGGAAGGAGUUCAGAGAAUUGCAAUAAUUUUGUGAAAGAUUAAUCCAGGGACAUUUCAAAUGUGGGGAAUAACCAUGAAAUUCCUGAGAGUAGUAAAAUGCUAACGUUCACAACAAACUUAUGUUUAAAGAGUGUAUAAGUGGCACCAUAAUUUCUGCACAUGGAAAAAUACUGAUAAGCUAUUUAAGGUACCUAAGAUUUCAGAAAUUAUCACAAAGAUAGGUAGCAUGUAAGGACAAUAAAAUUCACUUAUUUCUUUAUGAAGUAAAACCC
rnacentral:lncRNA from 1 species